rfam:Marchantia polymorpha subsp. polymorpha scaffold3217, whole genome shotgun sequence.
GGGGAUGUAGCUCAGAUGGUAGAGCGCUCGCUUAGCACGCGAGAGGCACGGGGAUCGAUACCCCGCAUCUCCA